GUGUAGCAGAGUGAACAUGGAGGUAAGAGAGAAGAGGAGAGUCUCUGUGACAUCCUCCACCCCUCCGCUUCCCCCCACAGACACCCACACACCUGUGGGGACACACCCGUGGACAAGAGACACGGAGUGCGGAAACAUGGCGCUGAAGGACUGAACACUGAGCGAGAGACUAGCCUGUGCUGAGACUGGAGGUUGGGUAGAGAGGAGAGAGAGGACUACUGCUGCGGCUGUUGAAUAGAAAAUAUCUGAACAUGGAGUCACUAGACUACCUGCCUUCCUGCUCACAUCACUUCAUGUACAUACACCGCCAGCUAUCUGGGUACAGAGACAUUUAUACUAUAACAACAGUACUAAGCAUUUAUACUAUAUACCACAGUACCAAGACAUUUAUACUAUAUACCACAGUACCAAGACAUUUAUACUAUAUACCACAGUACCAUCUGGGUACCAUAAAAAAUACAGCUCAGACGAAUACAAUAUACAGAAUAAUGUUUUAUGGGAGAAAUGCACUUCAAAUGUACAGAUGUUUCCAGUUAAUGACCUUUUAAUAAUAAAACAAUCUGUUUAUAACUCUUUUCAGUCUGGUGUAAUGCUUGACCCUCUCAGUCCAUCCCAUUAGGAAUGGUAGGAGUCUCAGUCCAUCCCAAUAGGAAUGGUAGGAGUCUCAGUCCAGCCCAUUAGGAAUGGUAGGAGUCUCAGUCCAUCCCAUUAGGAAUGGUAUGAGUCUCACCCCCAUUAGGAAGGGUAGGAGUCUCGUCCAUCCAUUAGGAAUGGUAGGAGUCUCAGU
rnacentral:lncRNA from 1 species